GAUGAACGCUGGCGGCGUGCCUAAUACAUGCAAGUAGAACGCUGAAGGAAGGAGCUUGCUCUUUCCGGAUGAGUUGCGAACGGGUGAGUAACGCGUAGGUAACCUGCCUGGUAGCGGGGGAUAACUAUUGGAAACGAUAGCUAAUACCGCAUAACAGUAGAUGUUGCAUGAUAUCUACUUAAAAGGUGCAAUUGCACCACUACCAGAUGGACCUGCGUUGUAUUAGCUAGUUGGUGAGGUAACGGCUCACCAAGGCGACGAUACAUAGCCGACCUGAGAGGGUGAUCGGCCACACUGGGACUGAGACACGGCCCAGACUCCUACGGGAGGCAGCAGUAGGGAAUCUUCGGCAAUGGACGGAAGUCUGACCGAGCAACGCCGCGUGAGUGAAGAAGGUUUUCGGAUCGUAAAGCUCUGUUGUAAGAGAAGAACGAGUGUGAGAGUGGAAAGUUCACACCGUGACGGUAUCUUACCAGAAAGGGACGGCUAACUACGUG
rnacentral:rRNA from 1 species